rnacentral:rRNA from 1 species
GCAAUUAUACGGCGAACUGCGAAUGGCUCAUUAUAUAAGUUAUCGUUUAUUUGAUAGCACCUUACUACUUGGAUAACCGUGGUAAUUCUAGAGCUAAUACAUGCUGAAAAUCCCGACUUCGGAAGGGAUGUAUUUAUUAGAUUAAAAACCAAUGCCCUCUGGGCUCUCUGGUGAUUCAUGAUAACUUCUCGAAUCGCAUGGCCUUGCGCCGGCGAUGGUUCAUUCAAAUUUCUUCCCUAUCAACUUUCGAUGUUUGGGUAGUGGCCAAACAUGGUGGCAACGGGUAACGGAGGGUUAGGGCUCGGCCCCGGAGAAGGAGCCUGAGAAACGGCUACUACAUCCAAGGAAGGCAGCAGGCGCGCAAAUUACCCAAUCCCGACACGGGGAGGUAGUGACAAUAAAUACUGAUACAGGGCUCUUUUGGGUCUUGUAAUUGGAAUGAGUACAAUUUAAAUCCCUUAACGAGGAACAAUUGGAGGGCAAGUCUGGUGCCAGCAGCCGCGGUAAUUCCAGCUCCAAUAGCGUAUAUUAAAGUUGUUGUGGUUAAAAAGCUCGUAGUUGAACCUUGGGCCUGGCUGGCCGGUCCGCCUCACCGCGUGCACUGGUCCGGCCGGGCCUUUCCCCCUGCGGAACCCCAUGCCCUUCACUGGGCGUGGCGGGGAAACAGGACUUUUACUUUGAAAAAAUUAGAGUGCUCCAGGCAGGCCUAUGCUCGAAUACAUUAGCAUGGAAUAAUAAAAUAGGACGUGCGGUUCUAUUUUGUUGGUUUCUAGGACCGCCGUAAUGAUUAAUAGGGACAGUCGGGGGCAUCAGUAUUCAAUUGUCAGAGGUGAAAUUCUUGGAUUUAUUGAAGACUAGCUACUGCGAAAGCAUUUGCCAAGGAUGUUUUCAUUAAUCAGGAACGAAAGUUAGGGGAUCGAAGACGAUCAGAUACCGUCGUAGUCUUAACCAUAAACUAUGCCGACUAGGGAUCGGACGAUGUUAUCUUUUGACUCGUUCGGCACCUUACGAGAAAUCAAAGUG